UCCGGUCGAGGCGUCAUGAAGCAGCUGGCCGCGGCCAGACAGUCACAGAGAGUAUCAAGUUUCCCUCCGCUACGACAGCCAACCUAAUAAAUAGUCGCUCCCACUCAUACAUAUGAACAGACCAAUAUUUUAUUUUAUUUUUGACUUCUUGAAAAAAAUUAUGCUCCAUCUUUAAUAUAAUCACACACUCGUUCCCAUGAAUAAAACUGAAUGAUGCUAUUUUUUUUCUAUGUUCAAGGAGCUGCUUGUGGUCGACCGGAUCAGCUAUCUCGUGGUGCUAACACCCGCCAGCUGAUGUGCCCGAGGCUCAGAGAUUCCGUGUUGUGGCGCCCGCUGCUCGACUGGGGGGGACUGGAGACUCCCUGCCACCCCCUGCUGGACGUGACCUCUCCAUUAGAAGAGAAGGGUCUGCUGCCACCUUGCAAGGCUUGUGCAGAGGAAUCCCAGACCAUCAGGCAUUGCAGCAAUGAUCUGCUCAGCCAGUGUGAGAACCCGACUGUCAUCCGGGGCGGCCAGGCCAGCCAUCUCUGAGCUGAGGGACUCUCGACGACUGGCAUAACUGCUGUCGACACCUGUUGACAAGAGACUUGGUGUUAAUUUGCAUCAUAAUUUCAUGUCCAAAUUUUGAAAGAUUUAAUUUUGGAUGUACUGAAGGUCAAAAUUCUGACUUUAGUAUGUGUGUAAAAUGACUGAAAAAAAAAAAAAAGUACAAACUAUAUACAACAGGCAAUAGAUCAAAUAGUGUUGUCAAGACCAUAGCAUAGCAAGUGAAAAAAAUCAACAAUAUAACUGCAAUAAAAAAUAAAUAAUUAAUAAUAAUAAUUGCCACCACUAAGUCUGCUUCCUGAGAAAAGACAGUGGAGGUUGAGCCUUAACAUAAAAAAAUAAGACAUUAUGAGAGAAAUAAAGACUGCCUAAAGUAAGUCACCCUUAAGACAUCUAGUACCUAUUUUUCCAUUUGUUUAAUCUUUCAUUACAUCAUAACUUUA